rnacentral:rRNA from 1 species
AUGGCAUUCUUCAUCGUCGCCAUCUUGCUUGGACUCCUCUCCGUCUCUCAACCAGGUGAUCAAUCUUCUUCCGUUGCCCAUUUCAGUCGCAUUCUUGAGCAUUUGCGUCGUGCGGUGUUGCUGAUCUUGCGAUUGUGCAUGGCAGCGCGAGGUGUAAACUACACGUUCAUGAGGGAGGCGAUGCACGCGCCGCCGGUGACCUACUACGACUACAUCGUCAUCGGGGGCGGCACGGCGGGCUGCCCGCUGGCGGCGACGCUGUCCAGGCGCUACCGCGUGCUGCUGCUGGAGCGCGGCGGGUCGCCCUACGACGACGACCGCGUGCUCAACAUGGCGCACUUCUCGGACGUGCUCUCGGACACGUCCGCGUCGUCCCCGUCGCAGCGGUUCGUGUCCGAGGACGGCGUGAUCAACUCGCGGCCGCGGGUGCUGGGCGGCGGCAGCUGCCUCAACGCCGGCUUCUUCACGCGCGCCGGCGCCGGCUACACGAGGGCCGUCGGCUGGGACGCCAGGGAGGUGCUUAGCGCCUACAGGUGGGUGGAGGACGUGGUGGCGUUCCAGCCGGAGCUGGGGCCGUGGCAGGCGGCGGUGCGCCGCGGGCUGCUGGAGACCGGCGUGGUGCCGGACAACGGGUUCACGUUCGACCACAUCCCCGGCACCAAGGUCGGCGGGUCCAUCUUCGACCCGGACGGCCGGCGCCACACGGCGGCCGACCUGCUGCAGUACGCGCGCCCCGAAGGGAUCGACGUGCUCCUCCGGGCCCGAGUGGCCAGGAUCUUGUUCAGUUACAAAGGGACCAAGCCCGUGGCGCGCGGCGUGGUGUACCGCGACUCGCUGGGCAUGGUUCACGUGGCGUACCUCAACCAGGGCGACGCCAACGAGAUCAUCCUGUCGGCGGGGGCGCUUGGCAGUCCGCAGCUGCUGAUGCUCAGCGGCGUCGGGCCCUCCGACCACCUCCGGUCGUUCGGCCUCGACGUCGUCGUCGACAACCCCGGGGUCGGGCAGGGCAUGUCCGACAACCCCAUGAACGCCAUCUACGUGCCGUCGCCGUCGCCGGUCGAGGUGUCGCUCAUCCAGGUCGUCGGCAUCACCAGGUUCGGCAGCUACAUCGAGGGCGCCAGCGGCUCCGACUGGACCACCCGCACCGCCUCCUCCAGCGGCGACGGCGCGCGACAAGCCCGCGUCUUCGGCAUGUUCUCCCCGCAGACGGGGCAGCUCCCGACGGUGCCCCCGAAGCAGCGCACGCCGGAGGCCAUCGCGCGCGCCGUGGAGGCCAUGAGCCGGGUACCGGACGCGGCGCUCCGCGGCGGCUUCAUCCUGGAGAAGGUCCUCGGCCCGCAGUCCACGGGCAGCCUCGCGCUCCGCAACCUGGACCCCGACGACAACCCCAUCGUCCAGUUCAACUACUUCGCCCACCCGGACGACCUCCGGCGCUGCGUCGCCGGCAUCGAGGCCAUCGAGCGGGUCAUCCGCUCCAGGUCCUUCUCGCGGUUCGCGUACCCCAACUUCGCGUUCCCGGCGAUGCUCAACGUCACGGCGGAGUUCCCGGCGAACCUGAUGCGCGUGCGCGGCGGUAGCGACCCCGCGGCGCUCGAGCGGUUCUGCAGGGACACCGUCAUGACCAUCUGGCAUUACCACGGCGGGUGCCAGGUCGGCAGGGUCGUCGACCGCGACUACCGGGUCCUCGGCAUUGAUGCGCUGCGCGUCAUCGACGGCUCCACGUUCAACGCCUCGCCGGGGACCAACCCGCAGGCCACCGUCAUGAUGCUCGGCAGGUACAUGGGAGUCAAAAUCGAAAAGGAGAGGACGCUGAUCGAAGGAGGAGCGAGAAAACUGUAG